AUGAUGAGGUAGCGAUUCGAACCCAAAGCAUAGAGCAAAAGGCUACUAAGUGGUCCUUGUUAGGAAACUUAGGUGGGGAUAAAGGGAUGAUGGAAAAUGUCUCUAAGGUGUAGUUGAAAAGGAAGAAUUGAUGAAGUGGGGACAGGUUGGCAAUCAUACAAAAUAGAAAAUUUGGGCUGAAGUGGAAGAAUGCCACGUGGAAGAGAGAUGGGGUCCUUCCCUCCCCAAAAGUUCGGGAAUAUGUGGGAAACAACUUACAUCGAUUGACUUGUCAGUAUUGGCAUGUGACGUGUGGGAAAAGAAAAGCUGUAGCGGGAAAACCUUGGACUGAAUUCGUGAAUGCUAAAAUGAACUUUUUUCUUCUAA